ACUUUGAAAAUGCAAUUCCAGAAGCAAAAAGGGAUAUGAAUUAGGCCAAUCCCUGGCUCUGAAGGUAUCUAGACCCUAAAAGUAGAUAUGUGGGCAUGAGCCAAUUCCUCAAAUGAAAGAGGUCUGGGCCAAACCAAGAAAAAGAGUAUGCUCCAGGCCCAAACCUGACACUGAGGACAUCUGUACACAAAGACAAUAGUAAAAUUAGCCCAGGUUCACCCUCACACAAAAAAGCCUUGUAUCCAAACAAGGAAGUGUUUUCAGGACAAAACUAUAAAACCAAAUGACAUUGUGGUUAGAGUGUGUACCAUGAGGUGCUCUGGUCUCAAGCCUUAAUUUUAAUUCUUAUUUUACUACUUAUUUACUCCAUAAGUUGGCUUCCAGGGUACCAGCUGUGUGGAUUGCACAUACAUACUUUUUUCAAUCCAGAUCACAUCUGAUCAAGGAUGACACCAUCACCAUAACAUGCCAAGGGCUUCCUGAAUAACCUGUCUCAGUACAGACUUACCAUACCAAGAAGGGUGUUAUACUGCACCUGUACCUUUCUCAGACAAGACCUUAACUUGCUUUCAACUGAAACUCAGGAACGAAACUCAGGCUGUACUAUCUGUUCACCAACAAUGUUCAACUAACCCAAAAUUGGCCUUGUUUCAAGUAACUGACAUCUGGACACAUUUUAUCUCCAGGAAGCAGAUCCUGAUAACGAUCUGGUAAUUAACACAGGUACAAGCCCAUAAACAGACCUCAAAGGAAACCUGGCAGCUCCUUGAAUUCCAAGCAACCUGGGCCCAUAUUCUCAACAAGGGUGUGCGGGUGACACCCUCUAUCCAACCCAGGUCACAAUUCUGCCACAAAGAAUUCAGGCCUUAAAGGGACCAAACCUCACCUGAAUGACCAAAGGAAAUGGGCACAGCCAUGAUCCUGACCUGGUCUGUGACAGGCAUUAUCUCAUGUCAAUUUCUUUUGCUGAAUAAACAAAGGCCUCAUUUGUGACUAAGUUCAGGCCUUAAAGGGACUAAACCUCACCUGAAUGACCAAAGGAAAUGGACACAGCCAUGAUCCUGACCUGGUCUGUGACAGGCAUUAUCUCAUGUCAAUUUCUUUUGCUGAAUAAACAAAGGCCUCAUUUGUGACUAAGUUCAGGCCAUGGUCACCAAGAAAUUUGGACUCCCAACCAUUCCUUCACAGAUGACUGACAUCAGAUCAUAGGUUAUGAACUCUCCUCAGUGACAAUCUGGAAGCUCCCUGUGGUACCACUAUGCUUUGGGUCUACACAUGUCAUUCUUCCAAUAGAGGCAACACUCUCACAUCAGGUGUGUUAAGACCACAUCAUUGCUUUUAAAUACUCUUGGCCAAACAUGAACAUAACAAGGUGACACCUUGAACUCAAAGGUGUGGGAGCCAUACCCAGAAAUCAUCUGUGUCCAGGUCUUCCUAGAUGAGGCCCUUCAGAGAUCAAGGAGAAGCUGACUUCAAGUGUAACCUGAGCCAUACCCACUACUCAAGGAAGGUUGGACACAGCUUAACCACAUGGAGAGCUGGUCUGAUGAGUGCAAAGAUGGUGAAAGCCAUAAAGUGACAUCAGUAGGAUCCUGGCAGCUUCCUGACUACAGGGUACCCCGAGUCCAGCCUUAAUUCAAGGGUGUGUGGGCCAUACCCUCUCUUCAUAUGACUCAAUACUAUGCUUACAGCAAAGGAGCCUGUCCCACACACCAUGGCCUUAAAUGGAACAAGGACUACCCAUAAUGACCAAACAACCGAAACAUCAAGAAUAUUUUGAUUACACUUGGCCUUAUCAUGACUCACCUUUUCCCCCCACAGUAGACUUAGUUCACUAAAAAUCUUAGAUGCAGUAACAAGGCUUCCUAAGCUGAUGACUGACCGACCCUCAAUCCAUAGCAAUGGAAGCUGAGGGCUCCAUGCCCAAGAAGGGCUGGUGCCGUAGCCUUCUUUCAUCAAACCCAGGAGUUAUGCUCACCUUAGAGGAUGUAGAACCACCAAAUGUGUGGAUUACACUAGAGAAACAAUCUGGGCAGAUUUUGGUAUAUAUAAGGGGUGUGUGGGCCGCACUCAGUAGCCAUUAUGUACCCAGCUGCUAUCUUGUCUUCAAUAGAUCCAGAACACAAUGAUCUCAUGUAUGUGUGUUAGCCAACACCAAGACCUCAGAAGAAAUUGGAACCACUACAAUGACCAGCAUUGAUGGUCUGAUAUGUUACAUCACCCUCACAAACAGAAAGGCUGUGAUCCAAACCCUCUUAUCCUGACAUCUCAGGUUCCCUAGUUCCUCCCUGUUGACCUUGAUCCUCAUCCAGACCCAAUUAGAAACUCCAAGUGGUCCUUUGGAUUAAGAAUGUGAUGACCCAGGAGUACAGACAUAAUUUUAAUUCAAUGGUGUAAUGGAAAACCCUGAAAUCCCUCCUCUGGUGGUGGUAACUGUUGAGACAUAGUUGCCCAUGCUUACUGAAAGUCUCACGGAGCCACAGAGAAGAAUCCAGAUGUAUUCCCUGAUUUCAAUAGACCUCUGCCUUCAUUUCUGUACACAAUAUACUUUGGAAGCCUUGUAGUCUUAUAUUAUUUAUUGGGCAUUUUCAUGCCCUAGCAUUGUGUAUAUAUAUUUUUAAUAAAUAUAAGGUUCAUCUGC